rnacentral:rRNA from 1 species
UACGUAGGGUGCAAGCGUUGUCCGGAAUUAUUGGGCGUAAAGAGCUUGUAGGCGGUUUGUCGCGUCUGCUGUGAAAUUUCGGGGCUCAACCCCGAACUUGCAGUGGGUACGGGCAGACUAGAGUGUGGUAGGGGAGACUGGAAUUCCUGGUGUAGCGGUGAAAUGCGCAGAUAUCAGGAGGAACACCGAUGGCGAAGGCAGGUCGCUGGGCCACUACUGACGCUGAGAAGCGAAAGCAUGGGGAGCGAGCAGG